CCAAGAUAAUGGCUAAUAUUACGGAGAUGCCACUAUCGUCGCUGUAAAACCCUCCCGCGUCCAGCACCUCUACCGCUGAUCGGCCAUGGCUUCCAGGCUCCGGACGGCCGGUUGCAUCAAAAAGUCCAUUCUGCCCUUCCGUUCGCGCAUAUUCCCGGACAAAACCUCGUCUUCAUCGUCUUCGUCCGCUGAUACUGCACCAUUCUCUACUCUCCCCUGCAGAAGAGGCCGAAUCCAGGCCCCGCCCAAACCUUCUUCUCCGAAGAAGGUGCCAUUUACAGUCUCCGUCCAUGGGAGGACGUGGGAAGACCCCUACCAUUGGAUGCGCAACACCGACGACCAUGAUUUCGUCGACUAUCUCCGCCAGGAAAACUCGUAUGCUGAAGCUUUCAUGGCCGAUACUCGGAAGAUGCAGGAUGCUCUUUUUUCUGAGAUGACAAACCGAAUGCCUGCAAAGAUUUCCACUCCCACUGAGCGUUGGGGACCCUGGUUGUACUACCAAUACAUUCCGGAGGGUAAGGAGUAUCCAAUUCUAUGUAGGAGACUAGCAUCUGAAAAGAAGGGUUGGGUGGAUACUUUCUUCAAUUAUGCAAGAAGAGGAUUUGGGAGGGAGGAAGUUUUACUUGAUUGGAAUGCAAUUGCACAACAAUAUGGAUAUGUUCAUGUGGGCACAUGUCGUGUAUCACCAGAUCACAGGUUCCUUGCUUACACGCUAGAUAUAACUGGCAGCGAAAAUUUCAUGCUUCAAAUUAAGGACCUUAGAACAGGGCAUAUUCUUCCAAAAUUAAGAGCUGAUGCAGUAGUUAGCUUGGCAUGGGCACAAGAUGGUAGCACACUAUUUUAUACUGUGUCUGACGAGAACCAACGUCCCUACAGGGUGCUAUCCACAAAAUUGGGAUCAGAUUCUAUGGUCGCUGAUCCAAUAUUUACAGAGAAUGAUUCCAGAUUUUGUGUGGACAUCACAAGCACAAAGGAUGGCAAGUUCAUUACUGUGAAUUCUAACUCAAGAACUUCAUCUGAGGUUUAUGCCAUAGAUACAAUUAACUCACAAGAUGGAUUACAAAGAUUAUGUAAGCGUGUCCCUGGUGUACAGUACUUUUUGGAGCAUCACUGUGGCUUUUUCUAUAUUCUGACAAAUGCUUCUUUGAGUAAGGGUAAGGAGCUGUGUCCUGGAAGUUAUUACUUGGCUAGAUGCCGAGUCGAAGACACAAAGUCAGGCAACUGGCAGAAUAUCAUUCUACCAAGUGAAGACUUCAGCUUGCGGGACAUGGACAUUUUUAAUGGACAUCUGGUGCUUUUCCUUGACAAAAAGGACUCUUUCUGUAUAUGUUCCAUCAAUAUGCCUAUAGAUGUUGAUUUUAAGAAUUGUCUAGAUAUUGACGAUCUUGCUCCUUGGUUUUUCCCUGUCCCAUCAAACUUGUGUACAAUGGUUCCAGGUUCAAAUCAUGACUUCAUGAGCUCAGUAUACCGUGUGGUGCUUUCAUCUCCAGUGAUGCCUGACAUAAUUGUUGAUUAUGACAUGUCAAAACAUACAUUCUCAAUAGUGCAGCAAGAGGAGGUAUUGGGUGUUUCAGCUGCUACUGGAUCAUUUUCUCAGAAUUCCUUUAGAGAAGUUAAUGAGCUUCUAGACACAAGGUGGCACAAAGGGGAGUAUCUCCAAAAAAAUGAACGGUGGUCAUGGAAUGAUUUGUCUGAUGCAUAUUCAUGUGAAAGAAUGGAGGUUCUUUCCCACGAUGGUGUUGGUGUUCUUCUAACCAUAUUGUACUCCAAAAAAACACAUCAGAAGGGUCAGUGUCCUGGGCUCCUAUUAGGCUAUGGAGCAUAUGGAGAAGUUCUUGACAAAAGCUGGUGUGCAGAACGUCUAAGUUUGUUAGAUCAUGGUUGGGUGGUGGCAUUUGCAGAUGUGAGGGGUGGUGGGGGUGUUGAUCCUUAUUGGCACAGUUCUGGCAGUGGAUUGCAGAAAUUGAAUUCUAUAUAUGAUUUUGUGUCAUGUGGCAAAUACCUGGUUAGUGAGGGUUAUGUUCAUAAAGGUAAGCUUGGGGCUGUUGGACACAGUGCAGGAUGUAUCCUUGUGGGAGCAGCCAUCAAUAUGUAUCCAGAAUUGUUUCAUGCUGCUGUUAUGAAGGUUCCAUUUCUUGACAUAUGCAACACAUUGCUGGAUCCAAGACUACCUCUCACCAUUUUAGAUUAUGAAGAAUUUGGAGAUCCUCAGAUACAAGAACAACUGGAGUCUAUCUUGCAGUAUUCUCCUUAUGAUAAUAUUCAUGGAGGAGUGUGCUAUCCUUCAGUACUUGUGACAGCAUCAUUUCAUGACUCAAGGGUUGGUGUUUGGGAAGCUGCUAAAUGGGUGGCCAAAGUACGGGAUAUUACUUGUUCAGCUUGUGCUUCUUCGGUCAUCUUGAAGACAAAUAUGAGUGGAGGGCAUUUUGGUGAAGGAGGCCGUUUUGGUCUGUGUGAGGAAGCAGCUUAUGAAUACGCUUUUCUGAUGAAAGCUGUGGGAACCUUGAACCUUGAGAUACUUUAGAUUUUGCGGCAGAUUCAACAAUCUUACUUCUAAGAUCCUAGAAAUGACAUUCAAAGAUUGAUCAACAGAAUCAUGGUUCUGAAAGCCUUAUAAUAAGAAAGGCUUUUUAAUGGGGUUUCAGUGUCAAUUUCCAUCUGCAUGUUAAUGUUACCGAACACUUCAGCAUUUGAUUGUGACCAUUCCAUUCAAAAGGGUAAUGUUGCAGUAGACUUGCAAACUCAAGGACUUGCAUGUCUGGAGAAGCAUGAAUGUGGACACUGUCAACAGUUAUCUUCAAUGCUUUGUCCAGUUCAACAAUGGGCAUGUCUCAUAUCAGAAUUGUUGAGUGUCCAAAAUGUUUCUUUGCAAACUUUAGAGGAGUCCAUAGUGUAACCUAAACCCAGGCACACAAUUGUGGAAGAGACUGAGGCAGAUCAGUUGUAGUCUUUACUGUUCUGUAAUGUUUGUUAUAUCUGCUGUAUUUUAUGAUUGGCCGGUUGUAUCGUUAGUCUGUGAUUUCAGUUGUAGAGGAUUGGGAGUUUAUUUAGGCUGUGUAGAAGAGAUGGUCAAGGCUAUAUAUAAGCUAGCCUUUCUAUUGUAUUUUCUGAUAUUGUGAUUCAUUCAUUCAUCUCAAUUGAAUUCGAUGAGUUCUUCUCUUCUUAUUCUCUUUUCUUUCU